UGAUCGGGACCACCGACGUUUGGAAGGA
rnacentral:sRNA from 1 species